rnacentral:rRNA from 1 species
GACGUAGGAGGCGAGCGUUGUCCGGAUUCAUUGGGCGUAAAGAGCACGCAGGCGGUUUGGCAAGUCGGACGUGAAAAUCCGGGGCUCAACCCCGGACCUGCAUCCGAAACUGCCCGACUAGAGGUAGGUAGGGGAGAUCGGAAUUCCUGGUGUAGCGGUGAAAUGCGCAGAUAUCAGGAGGAACACCGGUGGCGAAGGCAGCACUCUGGGACGGUACUGACGCUGAGACGCGAAAGCGUGGGGAGCGAACAGG